UACGUAGGGUGCGAGCGUUAAUCGGAAUUACUGGGCGUAAAGCGUGCGCAGGCGGUUGGCAAAGUCAGCUGUGAAAGCCCCGGGCUCAACCUGGGAAUUGCGGUUGAAACUAGUCGACUAGAAUCUGGCAGAGGGGGGUGGAAUUCCACGGUGUAGCAGUGGAAAUGCGUAGAGAAUGUGGAGGAACACCGAUGGCGAAGGGACAGCCCCCUGG
rnacentral:rRNA from 1 species